rnacentral:rRNA from 1 species
UACGUAGGGGGCAAGCGUUGUCCGGAAUCAUUGGGCGUAAAGAGCGUGUAGGUGGCCCGGUCAGUCCGCCGUGAAAGUCCAGGGCUCAACCCUGGAAUGCCGGUGGAUACUGCCGGGCUGGAGUCCGGAAGAGGCGAGUGGAAUUCCUGGUGUAGCGGUGAAAUGCGCAGAUAUCAGGAGGAACACCAAUGGCGAAGGCAGCUCGCUGGGACGGUACUGACACUGAGACGCGAAAGCGUGGGGAGCAAACGGG